AUUGUGCUCCAACAGUACAUUUUCCUCUUUUCCUUGUAUUUUAUAAUUCAGUCCUUCAAUACUUCUGUGUCUUUGAGAGACUAGGCACAGUACAGGAUAUCUCUAUUGUAGAAAAAUGGACAAGACCAGCUGUUGGACUCAGGUACUGAGAAAGCAUGGGAGGCCUCUGAAUAGAGAGUUACAUCUUCAAAGCUUCUGUUCAGGUUGACAGUGUCUCUUGAGAGAUGUUCCCCACGUGCACUUUGAUGAGCCAAUGAAUCUAACUGGGCUAUUUAUAGGAACAUAAAUAAGGUAAAUACGGGUUACCUUCAGGAUCAUGAGCCAGGACAAAAGCUCCUUCCCCUACUGAUGGCAGAUAUCCGUCACACCACCUGCAGGGCAACCAUCUGAAUCCUGUCUUCUGGCGAUAACCUGGAACCCCAUAUGACCUCAUACAUUCAGAAUAAGCAGUUCUAAGAACAAAUGCCUCUCCACUUGAACUUUUAAAACAUCCUGUUCCUCUUCUCCCAGACACCUGGAUACACUCUCAUCUUAGCAGGUACCAUGGGAUUAUAUGAAUAUCUGUCAGGUCACAUGCUGGGAAGAGACACUCUCCAUUACCUCGCUCAUACCAUAUCAUUUCUAGUAACGAUGCUAGUUGUGAUCCAGAAGAACAACACACUAUCAUCCUAUGAUCUCCUUCUAGAAUAGUCUAAGGAACUGAGUGUUGAUUGUAAGUUUUGAAAAUGGGAAAAUAAUCAUUCUAGAAGCCUUGUGAUGUUAGGUACUCGUGGCACAUUGUGUCAGCAAUUCUAGUGUUUAGCAGUUGAUCAUGGGAAGCACCUGAGUUAAGUCAGAUUCCUUAUACGCAUGACUCUACCAAAUCCAAAUGUUUGGCUGAAACAACUUCUCACACAAAAACGUGAUCCAGUGGGGGGAAAAAAUCUUAGUGAGAAUCUCUGGAACAAUUGGAUUCCAUUGCUGUUGCUCAGAGCCUUUGAUUCUACAUGGAAUGGGGAAGGCUGUAGCCCAUUGUAGCUUCUAAGAAUCUGAAAAACUUCCUAAACUAUGUUUUCAAAAUUACAGUGGUAUAGAAAUUCAUAUUUUUUAAAGAUGUGUUUCAACCCAGGAGACACACAGUUAACCCAUGGUCAACAGAGCAAGCUACCAGUAUUCAGUGGAAGUCUAGUCAGUGUGCUAUGGUAGCUCGGAGUCUGCAGAUGUGACAUGUGGGGGGUUUUCUUCUCAUUGACUUGUCAGGAAGUCUCUGACAGAAUCCACCAUCAAGAUAAGAUGGCAGAGGGUCCUUGAGGAACCACGGCAUUAUAUAUGACAAGACACAUACUAGCAUGCGUUGAAAACAGAAAUAUUUGGAGUCUUGCUUGAUAUUAGGAACAUGGCAGGAUAUUAGCUUAUGGUGACAAAUAGCCUUGGUCUCUGGGGAAAAAUGGUGUGGCAAGAAUUUGAAUGUUCCUACUGACAGUAGUGUAUUUAAGACCACAGGCUUUAAGGAAGUAGAUACGCUCUUCAAACUGUACAAUGCAACCCAUUCAGUGACAGAGGUAGGUUUGGAUUUGAAAAGUAUUUUGAAUUCAAGAUACUUUUUGAUCACCCUGGAACAUGUCUGGUUUGUAAUAGACAGUGGAUAUUCUUCUUGUGGUUCUAGUCCAGGUUUAAACCCAAUGGCCCAAGCAUAACCUGAUGAUUUGAGAAGAAACAUUAAUAAUUCACUGUUUUAUGGCUCUGAUGAUUCCAGUGGGCCUCUCAGGACCUCUCUGCCAAGGUUCUUUUGCCUCUUAUGCAGUGAGUUCCUACUGCCUAGACAAUACACAAGCUGGUUACCACUCCCUGCAGCCUGCUGUAGCUUCCAUCUAGAAGCGAUGGAGGAACAACUAUUCGAUAAGCAACAUGUUUUUGAAAGAUGGUCUCUUAAAAUAUUUACUGUCUGUUUUAUUGAUUAUUAAAAUAUGUCUGUUCUCCAUCUUCACGCUGGAUAAUUACCCAGGUCUCUUUUUAUACUAGUCACAAUCAAAAGCCUGUGUAAGAUGCAUUUCUAGAAUAUUCUUCUAUCAAUGUUAUAGCUACCUUUUCUUUACGUAUAUUUGACAGUUUGUUCUUGCAUGACCAAUUGCCAGAGAUGAGUAACUGGAUUUUGUUCCAGUUACAAAAUUUAUGUCAAUGUAUUAUAAUGGAUAUAAAGAGGUCACGACACGUGUGAGCAUAUUAAAGAAUUGGUUACAAUAUUUAUCAUAGAGGAUAUUAAUGAUUAUAGUGUCACAGAAAAUCCCAUUAUACAACAUUAGUGUCUCAUGCCCACAGAGCAUAUUUCAGAUUUCAUUACUGGGUAUGAAUGUACUACUAUGAAACUUCACAGCUUGUAUCUUAUAAAUGUAAUAAGUUUUGAAUAAUUUUCCUUCAAGAUUUUGCUUUGUUUUAUUUUAUUUUUGUAAUUGACUUAAUAUGCACCACAGCAAUGGUACAGAAGCCACCAGUUAUACAUUUUGGGAACGGAUUAUUUAUUUUUUAAUUUUAAUUUAAUUAUGUCACUGGUAUCUCAGGCUCAUAUACACAUAUGUGUCU
rnacentral:sRNA from 1 species